rnacentral:rRNA from 1 species
CCUACGGGAGGCAGCAGUGGGGAAUAUUGCACAAUGGGGGAAACCCUGAUGCAGCAACGCCGCGUGAAGGAAGACGGUUUUCGGAUUGUAAACUUCUGUUCUUAGUGAAGAAUAAUGACGGUAGCUAAGGAGCAAGCCACGGCUAACUACGUGCCAGCAGCCGCGGUAAUACGGAGGAUGCGAGCGUUAUCCGGAUUCAUUGGGUUUAAAGGGUGCGCAGGCGGGCCUUUAAGCCGGCGGUGAAAUCGCGGGGCUCAACCCCGCCGAGCCGUCGGAACUGGGGGCCUUGAGUGCGGCGGAGGCAUGCGGAAUGCGCGGUGUAGCGGUGAAAUGCAUAGAUAUCGCGCAGAACCCCGAUUGCGAAGGCAGCGUGCCGUGCCGCCACUGACGCUGAGGCACGAAAGCGCGGGGAUCGAACAGGAUUAGAUACCCUUGUAGUC